GCUUUUACGUAUAUACGAAGUACAGUUUCACAACAGGACGCACCGAUCUCACCGUUAGAAAUGUUUUUCGAAUUUAUCUUUCUAGUAUUACUUGGAAAUAUUUAUUCAGAGGACCAUGCUUUAAGAAAUUUGGUCGACAAGAGCAAUUAUCCAUCGAUUAUACGGGCACGGGAUAUUUCUUCAUUUUCUGCAUUUACAGCCACAUUAUCUGCAUAUGGUGGAACAUUUUGGAAAGGACAAGUAGUCAAAUACAGCCGCGUACUUGCUCAUAUUGGAAAUUGUUACGAUUCAUCUACGGGCGUGUUUACUGUUCAGACGCCUGGUGUAUACUCGGUGUCGGCGUCGAUGAUGGGAGGCAGCGGUUUACAUACUCAUCUGACUAUAAUGAAGAAUGGAAACAUUUUGGUGUGGCUAUACACUGGGCCUUCUUAUGAUAUGUCGUCCCAAACUGUAAACAUUCCAUUGUCGAGAGGAGACAAGAUGUGGGUACAAAUGCAUAGCAAAGUGUCUCAUCUUCAGGGUAGAAAUGAAUUUUUUAAUGUUUUUACCGCAGUUCUGAUAAAAUCUGGAAUCUUUUGAAAACAAAUAUUAGCAGUGCAUUCGAUUAAAUAAAGUUUAUCAUUUUGAUAUA